AGUUAAAAAUCUGCCCUCAAUCCGAGGCCACCGGUAGCUUGUAUCGCUGCUGUGAAGCGGCAACAAUUUUAGAUUCUGUUGUGUUCAUGCGCCGAGCACCGCGGUGAGCGCUUGGACUUCGCCGCCGAAAAGUUUUAGAAAGGACAGCGUGUAGGCGUGUUUCAGACCAUUUCAUUUUCUUGGGUGAAAUGUUGCUUUUUUGCUAAAACUGAGGCAAACGUUGAUCUUGAGAGCUUGCAGUUUGGGGGCAGUAAAGUUGAGAAAGGAUCAUAUUCUGUUAUUGGUUUGUGGGACUGCAGGUGAAGCUGCUUUGUUUCCCUAAAAGAUACUUUUUGGGGACAAUAAUUUGGGAGUAAAGCGGCAAGUUCUAAUACCCGAUUUACAAUUACAUUGAACUACAAGGAUCCCCUCACUGGAGAUGAAGAGACCUUGGCUUCAUAUGGGAUUGUUUCUGGGGACUUGAUAUGUUUGAUUCUUCAAGAUGACAUUCCAGCGCCUAAUAUACCUUCAUCCACAGAUUCAGAGCAUUCUUCACUCCAGAAUAAUGAGCAACCCUCUUUGGCCACCAGCUCCAAUCAGACUAGCAUGCAGGAUGAACAACCAAGUGAUUCAUUCCAAGGACAGGCAGCCCAGUCUGGUGUUUGGAAUGACGACAGUAUGUUAGGGCCUAGUCAAAAUUUUGAAGCUGAGUCAAUUCAAGAUAAUGCGCAUAUGGCAGAGGGCACAGGUUUCUAUCCCUCAGAACCC
rnacentral:lncRNA from 1 species